ACUAGAAUGAANGGCUAAAUGAGGACUACUCUGUCUCUCACGGGUAACCAAUGAAAUUAAUCUUCUAGUUCAAAAGCUAGGAUAAACACAUAAGACGAGAAGACCCUGUGGAGCUUCAAAACCANGACCACCAGACAUGCUUCCUCGGAUUUUUAGUUGGGGCGACUUCGGAGCAUAAAAAACCCUCCAAAUAUAUUUUUGUUAAGAUUAACACAUCAAAAUAACUAUAUCAGACCCAGCAAUUUUACUUAAAUGUCUGAUCAAUGAACCAAGUUACCCCAGGGAUAACAGCGCCAUCCCCUCCCAGAGUCCAUAUCGACAAGGGGGUUUACGACCUCGAUGUUGGAUCAGGACAUCCCAAUGGUGCAGCCGCCAUUAAAG
rnacentral:rRNA from 1 species